GAAGCGCCUCUCGCAGUCUGGUAAUCCAUCAUCCGACUCCAUAGAAACACGCUCUCACAACAGUCGCGCUGGGAACACCUGCAGUGGAACCAGUGUCACACAGUGGGCCAUUCACUUUAAUGAUCUCGGAGGCAGCAAUUCCGGGGUUCAGCAUGGGGUAUCUCCCUUUUGUCUGAGCCGGAGACAGAGCAAGCUCAGCGGGGUGAAGAAGCGGGUUCGCGUGUGGGAUCUCACAUCCAGCUUUCGUCCUAGACCCCUGAGCGUGUGCGCAUCUGGAACUGCACACAACCGGAACAGUGAAGUGAGUAA